rnacentral:rRNA from 1 species
CCUACGGGAGGCAGCAGUGGGGAAUCUUGCGCAAUGGGCGAAAGCCUGACGCAGCCAUGCCGCGUGAAUGAUGAAGGUCUUAGGAUUGUAAAAUUCUUUCACCGGGGACGAUAAUGACGGUACCCGGAGAAGAAGCCCCGGCUAACUUCGUGCCAGCAGCCGCGGUAAUACGAAGGGGGCUAGCGUUGCUCGGAAUUACUGGGCGUAAAGGGCGCGUAGGCGGAUCGUUAAGUCAGAGGUGAAAUCCCAGGGCUCAACCCUGGAACUGCCUUUGAUACUGGCGAUCUUGAGUAUGAGAGAGGUAUGUGAAACUCCGAGUGUAGAGGUGAAAUUCGUAGAUAUUCGGAAGAACACCAGUGGCGAAGGCGACAUACUGG